UGUUCAUUUGGUUGGUAAAUCCAGAUGAUUCUUUGGAUCACUAACACAUGUUUCAGUAGAUGCUGUUGAUAUGACAUUGGUGGAUCAUGAAGAUGCAUGUAGAGAUGCGAGUUGUGAGAAACAUAAGUUCUCUAGGGAGCAGAGAAAGCUUAUCCAAGUGAUGAAUGUGAAGAGGAAAAGACUUUCUUUGCUUGGAGAAAGUUAACGGCGAGAUGGUUAACAUACUGGAGGGACUCGAAUUGCAUACCGAUGUUUUUAAUGCAGCGGAACAGCAAAAGAUAGUUGAUAAAGUGUGUGAGCUACAAGAAAGGCACGUAAAGGAGAACUAAGUAAAGCGUGCAUUUACUCCUAAAGGAAAAGGACGUUCAGCUAUUCAAUUCGGUUGUUGUUUCAACUACCGAACAAGUAAAGCUGGAACCCCGGCUGGGAUUCUUAGACAUGAAACUGUUGAACCAUUACCUGCUCUCUUUCAAAGUGAUCAUUAGAAGGUUGGUUGAAUGGCAUGUUCUGCCUCCAACUUGUGUACCUGAUUGUUGUGUCGUCAACAUCUAUGAUGAAGGUGAUUGCAUACCUCCUCAUGUCGAUAAUCACGACUUUCUUCGUCCAUUCUGCACCGUUUCUUUCCUUAGUGAAAGCAAUAUCCUCUUCGGAUCAACCUAAAACUUGAGGAAAACGGUGAAUAUUCCGGUGGUUCAUACUCAUUACCGCUUCCAGUUGGAUCAGUGCUUGUGUUAAACGGCAAUGGAGCUAAUGUAGCUAAGCAUUGUGUACCUGAAGUUCCCACAAAAAGAAUAUCAAUUACAUUUAGAAAAAUGAACGAGUCAAAACGUCCAAUCUGGUUCACACCAGAGCCUGAUCUGCAAUGGAUACAGCCAUUGCCAUUCGAGCAGGAAUCGUCUAGUUCAUCUGACCAUGUUUAUUAG